GAUCAAAAGGUUAAAAUCAAAUGUAUUUAAUAAAAGAGAUGGCGUUGUGGUAAAAAGAACAUCUCAGCUGAGGAGCCGCUGGUCUCAGCCACCAACAGGCCCCAGGUCAGUCCUUUGACCAUCCCUAGUGCCCGUCUGCUGCCUCCACCAGUGAACUCGAGAACAAUGGUUCCUACAGGUAUUUAUAACAAUGCUUAAAGGUGUGAAAGUCAGUGUCCACACCUCUGGGAGUGGUCUUCUGGUGAGUUCAAUGUAACUCGGAUUUCGGAUGAUCCUUAGUCAAUAUCAGUUGUUGUUCAAGUAUUACAUGCAUGCAUUCCAGUUGAUUACAUUACAUCAAAUACAAUCAUAACUGUACAUUGGUAUUAUUCUAUUACAGUUGCAGAAUUACAGUGGUUUUACAAUAUUGUCAUUACUUUAUUGAUUACACAUUUUCAGAAUCAUGGCUGUAUUCUGGUGUACACUAUAUGCAUUUUUAUUAAUUUUAUGAACCGGAUCGUCAAUUUGUUUCUAAUAUCCUACACUA
ensembl:lncRNA